AAGGAUCAUUACAAAUCCAUCACGUCUCCUCAUCCGAGACCACGUUGAAAUGUUCCCCAGGCCGGCAACAUAUAUGUAUAUGUGUGUUGCCUGCCUGGGCUGUUAAACAACUAGUGUUUCCUGUUGCUCAAUUGUAUACGUAUGUCUGCUUGCAGGUGCGCAUCUACCCGAUGACGCUUGACGGCAACAACGACAACAAACAAGUACAACUUAUAACAAUGGAUCUCUAGGCUCUU
rnacentral:misc_RNA from 1 species